rnacentral:rRNA from 1 species
GUUGUAUGGUUAAGUGACUAAGCGUACACGGUGGAUGCCUUGGCAGUCAGAGGCGAUGAAAGGCGUA